rnacentral:rRNA from 1 species
GAUUUCUGACAUAACAUGUUUGGUCCGCCGGCUCUGCUGGUAGGUGCUUUGACAUGUGUGUCAUCCUUCCAGAAAACGGCUGGUGCUCUUAACUGGGUGCUAGUUUGUGAUCUGGAUCUAUUACUUUGAAAAAAUUAGAGUGUUUAAAGCAGGCGUUUGCCUUGAAUACAUUAGCAUGGAAUAAUAAUUUAGGACUUUUGUUCUAAUUUGUUGGUUUAGGACGAAAGUAAUGAUUGAUAGGGAUAGUUGGGGGUGCUAGUAUUCAGUGGCCAGAGGUGAAAUUCUUGGAUUCACUAAAGACUAACUUAUGCGAAAGCAUU